rnacentral:rRNA from 1 species
ACGGAAGGCAGCAGUGGGGAAUAUUGGGCAAUGGGCGCAAGCCUGACCCAGCAACGCCGCGUGAAGGAUGACGGUCUUCGGAUUGUAAACUUCUUUAAUUGGGGAAGAAUAAAUGACCUACCCAGAGAAUAAGUCACGGCUAACUACGUGCCAGCAGCCGCGGUAAUACGUAGGUGACAAGCGUUAUCCGGAUUUACUGGGCGUAAAGGGCGUGUAGGCGGUUUGGCAAGUCAGAAGUGAAAUUCCUGAGCUCAACUCGGGCGCUGCUUCUGAAACUGCUAGACUUGAGUGCUGGAGGGGAUAGCGGAAUUCCUAGUGGAGCGGUAAAAUGCGCAGAUAUUAGGAAGAACACCGGUGGCGAAGGCGGCUAUCUGGACAGUAACUGACGCUGAGGCGCGAAAGCGUGGGGAGCAAACAGGAUUAGAUACCCUGGUA